UUUAAUUGUCUUAAAGAUAGAUUUUAGAAGGAUAAGUAUUAAUCAACCAACACUUAUCCAUCAAUCUCUUUCCCUCUUUAAUUGUACGUUAAGAAGAACCAAGAGAAAAUCCCAAACUAAAAUUCUUAUUUCUCCUCAUCUUUAGCAAGUUUCAGCAAGAGUAAUUGAUAAAGCUUGAAGUGAAGAAAUAGUCUUUGUGACUCAUAGGUGCUAUGUGGUGCAAGUAAGUGAUAUGAAAUAUUUGGCAACCAUGAGUAAUGAAUCUUCUCCAACAAAUGAAGCAGAGCGUUACAACUUGGUAUCAGAGCAGCCACGGUCUUAAAGGUCCUGAAGACUGACUAGAUUUAUUUGAUGUGAAGAUAAGCUUGACUCAUAGUAUAUGCAAGUCAAAGAUCGGUGAAGUAUUGAGCAACGUGUCUAAGGUGAUUUGACAGAUUUAACGAAGAGUGACAGCUCGGGAAUGAUCAGAGAAAUGCACUCAUUACAACUGCAAAUUGCGAGAAGAUGUAUGUUAUCACUCAGUAUAUUAUUUGGUGAAGUGAGUAUAUAAGAGAAUUAAGAGAAGUAAGUGUUGAAACUUAUUUUAGCAAGAUCUAGAUUUACUAACACGUAUGUUGAUUAUAGAACUAUAAUCUAACAUCUUAAAUAUGAAUUCCCUAAAAUAAUAAAAUAAACACAUAUAAAGUUAUAGAAAACCUUACAUUAGUGGCAGCGGAAUAUAAUGUCUCAUUCCGUUUAGAUCUCUAACCCUUGAUCCAAAUGGUCGCAGAGUAUGAUCAAGAUCUAAAGCUUGAUCUUCUUCGGUUGUUGGAAUUCUUCACAAUCUUCCACAAAGGUCAAAGUAUUGGCUUGAAUUGUAUGGGUAAUUCCUCAAUUCACUAAAUGGGUUGAAAAUAUGAA